rnacentral:rRNA from 1 species
AGCGAACGCUGGCGGCAGGCCUAACACAUGCAAGUCGAACGGACCCUUCGGGGUUAGUGGCGGACGGGUGAGUAACACGUGGGAACGCGCCCUUUGGUUCGGACUAGAUCCUGGAAACGGGUGGUAAUGCAGAAUGUGCCGUUCGGGGGAAAGAUUUAUCGCCAUUGGAGCGGCCCGCGUCUGAUUAGCUAGUUGGUAGUGUAACGGACUACCAAGGCGACGAUCAGUAGCUGGUCUGAGAGGAUGAUCAGCCACAUUGGGACUGAGACACGGCCCAAACUCCUACGGGAGGCAGCAGUGGGGAAUCUUGCGCAAUGGGCGAAAGCCUGACGCAGCCAUGCCGCGUGAAUGAUGGAGGUCUUAGGAUUGUAAAAUUCUUUCACCGGGGACGAUAAUGACGGUACCCGGAGAAGAAGCCCCGGCUAACUUCGUGCCAGCCGCCGCGGUAAGAC